AUGAGUAUUUUCACUCUCCUCAGUUUUUUGUGGAUGUUUAUUGGCCACACAGAGGCAGAUGUAAUAAACCGCUUGUCAGAGAAUGAAAAUAAACUUGUUGGUGACACUGUUACUCUGUCCUGCAGUUACAAACACUAUACGGGUAAUGUACAGAAUUUACAAUGGUACAGACAAUAUCCCAGAUCCAAACCGGAGUACCUCCUUUACAUUUUCCCACAUGGAGCUAUGAGUGAAGAUAGACCAGAGAGAUUUUCAGCUGAAGUUCAUCAAGAUAUUAAAAAAGUGGAUCUGAAGAUCUCCUCUGCUGUUCAGGCAGAUUCUGCCAUGUACUAUUGUGCCCUGGUGCCCACAGUGACAGGAAAUAUAACUGCAUCAUACAAAAACCCUCCCAUGAUCCCAUCAUCAAAGAAAGACAAAGCUCUAAACACUUACUUCAUCCUGUCUCAAAUGCAUCAUCACCACUAUAGUCUGUCCUUUUGCUGAAACAAGUCACAACAGAUGCAUUCAUAUAGUCAAAGGUUCACAUCUCCAUAUGACUGAAACUGUACAGAAAACUUUGAAGUGUUUUGCCAGGAGGUGGCGCUGUAUGAUUUAAAGUGAGACAGAAGAGACUUUUCAUUUUGUGAA